GCUGUGGUGGCCCAGUGGUAACUCUCCUGCCUGCGGUGCAGGCGACCCAGGUUUGAUACCAGCCAUCAGUG